UACGUAGGGGCCAAGCGUUGUCCGGAUUUAUUGGGCGUAAAGAGCUCGUAGGCGGUUGGGUAAGUCGGGUGUGAAAACUCCAGGCUCAACUUGGAGACGCCACCCGAUACUGCUCUGACUUGAGUUCGGUAGGGGAGUGGGGAAUUCCUGGUGUAGCAGUGAAAUGCGUAGAGAUCAUGAGGAAGACCAGUGGCGAAGGCGGGUCUCUGGACAGUUCCUGACACUGAGGCACGAAGGCCAGGGGAGCAAACGGG
rnacentral:rRNA from 1 species